CUAUGACCAUGAUUACGCCAAGCUAUUUAGGUGACACUAUAGAAUACUCAAGCUAUGCAUCCAACGCGUUGGGAGCUCUCCCAUAUGGUCGACCUGCAGGCGGCCGCACUAGUGAUUGUAGUCAUAUGCUUGUCUCAAAGAUUAAGCCAUGCAUGUCUAAGUAUAAGCAAUUAUACCGUGAAACUGCGAAUGGCUCAUUAAAUCAGUUAUCGUUUAUUUGAUAGUACCUUACUACUUGGAUAACCGUGGUAAUUCUAGAGCUAAUACAUGCUGAAAACCCCAACUUCGGGAGGGGUGUAUUUAUUAGAUAAAAAACCAACGCCCUUCGGGGCUUCUUGGUGAUUCAUGAUAACUUCACGGAUCGCAUGGCCUUGCGCCGGCGACGGUUCAUUCAAAUUUCUGCCCUAUCAACUUUCGAUGGUAAGGUAUUGGCUUACCAUGGUUUCAACGGGUAACGGGGAAUUAGGGUUCGAUUCCGGAGAGGGAGCCUGAGAAACGGCUACCACAUCCAAGGAAGGCAGCAGGCGCGCAAAUUACCCAAUCCCGACACGGGGAGGUAGUGACAAUAAAUACUGAUACAGGGCUCUUUUGGGUCUUGUAAUUGGAAUGAGUACAAUUUAAACCUCUUAAC
rnacentral:rRNA from 1 species